rnacentral:rRNA from 1 species
CGUGUCCGGGAUUACUUGGGUUUUAAAAGGGUGCGUAGGCGGACUGUGUUAAAGGUAUGGUGGUGAAAGUACAGUGCUCAACCCUGGUAACUGCCAUUGAUACUGGCACGGCUAUGAGUGUAGAAUGAGGGUACAUGGAAUUUUAUGGUGUAGACGGUUGAAAAUGCAUAGAAUNCAUAAGGAAACACCGAUAGGAAGGCAGUUGCUACUUAUCAAACUAACUGACGCUGAGGCACGAAAGCGUGGGUAGCGAACAGGAUUAGAUACCCUGGUAGUCCACGCCGUAAACGAUGAUCACUCGACUGUUUAUCUCCUUCGCGGU